rnacentral:lncRNA from 1 species
GAUCAAGUAAGAAAUAUACUAACUUGACUACGGUCAGUCGAAGGAUAUUCGAUUUAUCAUUGUCUAUCAAAUACCUAAAAAGUCUACAAACUAAGUCGGCUGACGCCCAACUAACGGACAAACUCUAAUACGAUUAUUGGUUGACAUUCAAUUCACUGAAUGGAUAAUCGAUAAUCCGACUGUUAUUCAAUGACAUUGACAGUACAAGUUUAAAAAGGGAUUCCAUACUUAAAAUUUUUUUCAUUCAUUGAAGAAGAGAUUACAAAAUUGGGCCCAAGGUCUGAUUACAAAAUUGGAUUUGUCUGAUUACAAAAAAAAGAGAGGAAGAUAUUACACCGGUCGUCAGUCGGCUUCUUCACCUUGCUCCGAUACAGUUUCGGUGGUUGGAGCAGGUUUUGGUGCAACUGGUGCAUCUCUUUCGUUUGGUGCG